UUUGUAUCAAGCUGAAUACUUAUUGAAUGAAAUAAGAAACUAUUCGCACUUAUCACUUACCGACUAAGUUGAGUGCCGACUUGUAACUUUUACAUUUAUCGCUUUAGAUGAGCCAUCGUACGAAAAAUGCUCAUUGUUUUUUUAAGUUUGCCUGCGCGCAUCUUUGUAACUAGUCGUGGGAUACUUUCCUUCGGUUUCUUUCCCGUAUGAUGGUCAAAAUUGAGUAACAAUAUGCUCCAAAGUAAUCAGAACAAUAGAUAGAAAUAGAUAACUUGAACCAGAUUGCACUCGUCGAAAUUCAACUACAUCAACGCGUUUUUCGCGUAAACACACUGUACGUAUGAUGUUGCGAUGUGGCAGGAACUGGAUAAUAAGAAAAGGUGAGCGGUGGGACAUAAAAUUCUCGUUAUUAAUAAUCAUCUAUGAUUUCGAUAUUAUAAAACCACGUAUUCACAAUAUUUUUACAGUACCCUCGUUCACUUACUUUUAUGGAAAUUUUUUUUAACCAUAUAAAAGUAUUCGAUUUCAGAGGAUUUCGAGAUUCGAAAAAAUAAAUUUCUUAUUACAUAUAUUUAGAAUGAGUUUUUAGGCACAACUCAUGCAAAUAUCAGACACUUUUACAGACAACCCAUGUGAAACGCGAGCAUGUUUUUCAAAUGUUACAUAAAAAUUUGGCAAGCGUCUUCAAAUGAGUGUAUUUUCUAAUUACCACAAUAUCAUCUGAAUUGAGGUCACAAAACACUACUUGCAAAACUUGCCAACAAAAUUUUGGCACAAUUAUUGCUGCGUUUCAGAAGGCACUAAAAAUUGGCAGUAAAUAUCAUACACGAUUCUAAAAUGAAUCAAUUAUUUAAUUAAUCUCCGGAAUAAACAAUAAUUAAGCAUUCUUAGCGUUAUCUAUACAGUCGUGCCUAAAAAAUUAAUAGUCUUUUUGCACUUUAUUAUAAUAUAAUCUUUUCUAGUAAUUGAAACUCAUAGACAGUUAACAAACUAAACAAUUCACUCGUAUCCCCAUCCACUUUUCAUUUAUGAAAGAGAUACGGUCAUGUUUAAAUUAUUUUUUCGUUCUCAAAUACCAACGAGUACCAGUUGAAAUACAUUAAUUGACGUUGAACUUUGCUACCUAGCAACUGCUUCGUGCUUGUGGUUGUACCACGGUCCUAAAUUGCACUAUUUACACUUUUUA
rnacentral:lncRNA from 1 species